AGCAAACAGGCCCGCAGCCCUCUGCCACUGCCAGUCCGUGUGGCUGCCCGGCUCCCUGCAGGGCGCCCUCGCUGGCUGACGGAUACCCGCGUGCUCUCAUUUCUUCCUGCCCGGGUCUCCUAUUUAUUUAGCCUGGAGUAACCCCUGCUGUUGCCUCUGCUCAGCUGGGAGCUAGCAUCCUCUGUGCUUGGCCCUGCAACCUUGGGAUUCUAGUCCCCGUGUUCCUCUGUCUUUCCAGGCUCUUGUCCAGUGUGAGCCCAAGGGACCCAUCAUUCAGGCUGCGGUGUGGACUGAGCACCCGGGGCCAGUGCUGCUGAGUGUUGAGCUCUCUCCCCUGCUUCCUGUUUCCUCCCCUGCAAACUCGGGUGAGCCCACCUCUCUGGAGGGGCCAGGCUAGGAGCAGACAAGGCCCUGUGUGCACAGUUUGAAUGACACCAGCACACACCGUGGGCGCUGGAGAAGACCAGAUGAGGUGAUCCGCGGGUGUGGGCUCCUGGAGGGACCAGGCCUGCUUCCGUCCCAACACUGCUCCUGUCACAGAGAAAGGACCAGAAUAAGACUGACUCUAUCCCCUGUCCCCAUCGCUGGGCAUCUGAUCUUCUCCGCGCCCAGUCCAAGGAUCGUCUGCAUGCCUUCCCUUCUCCCUCUCCCUCUCUGAAGGGAGCGAAGCAGCUCAAAUUCGGUUACCCUAAUGGGUCCAAAUGAAAAGGCGUGUGUCACAGCUGAUGAGUCGUCUGAGAGCUUGGUCAGUGGAGGCCGCCAUCUUCCUGCCUGUGCACAGCAGCUGCACAUGUGCCCAGGUCUCCCAGGAGACCUGGGACGCUCCCCCAGCUGGGGAGAGCCCCCACCCCUGCACUACGAUGGGCCCCGGCUCCCUGCUCUGGCCCUGAACUCAUACCAGGGGAAAACCCAAAGCAGGGACACAGCUGGCUUGAGUGAUGCUGAGCACCCCGUCAUGGGAGACAUUCGAGAAGAAGCUGGAUGACUAGAGCAGAGAGGAAGGGGAGGGUGGGAGGUCGA